CCGGCACGGGUGAGUAACACGUAUCCAACCUGCCGUCUACUCUUGGACAGCCUUCUGAAAGGAAGAUUAAUACAAGAUGGCAUCAUGAGUCCGCAUGUUCACAUGAUUAAAGGUAUUCCGGUAGACGAUGGGGAUGCGUUCCAUUAGAUAGUAGGCGGGUAACGGCCCACCUAGUCUUCGAUGGAUAGGGGUUCUGAGAGGAAGGUCCCCCACAUUGGAACUGAGACACGGUCCAA
rnacentral:rRNA from 1 species